UGUUGUCCAUCUUCUUCAUCUUCAGCCUCCAAUGAGGCAGCCAAGACUUUGGUUCAUUCAACGUUGCUUCAUUGGGAUUAACCCAGAAAGGGGCACAAAAGCCGGUCAUGGGAAGAUGGUAUCCAGAAAGACCAUUCAAAAUAAAAAGUGACGGUCAAUGUUCAGGUUUCCACCCUCAUCAAAAACCUGAUGGACUUUGAGUGGCAUCUCAUUCAGGUUAGGUAUUAAUGUUCUAUCGUAAAACUAAGACUGUAUUUUAAAAAGUAGCAUUACAGUUUUCUUUGCAGUAGCUUACUCAUAAAAUGAAUGCAGUAGUAAAACUAAAUUUACAGUAAAAAUACUGGAACCUACAGACGCCAGUAUUUGAAGGUACAUUUACUUUCACCACUGUAUUUUACGGUGGCCAACAGGUACAAACACCAAAUAAAGACGAGAAAAACACAUGCAACAAAAAAGAGCUGCAAACAAAAAAUGCUGAAAACAGAAGCGAUCCAGACCACUAGGGGGAGUCGAACAAAGAACAACUGUGUCCGAAGUCAGGUUUUGCAUCCUUGGGUCCUCCGGAAGAGAGAAGCUGUAGCUUUCAGCUUAACCUCUACCGUCGCGUUAUGUUGCUUAGCAACCGUGACAACGUGAAUCACAUAGCGGCAAAGGAAAAAAAAAAACAGACUCGAAGUAUGUCUUUUUUUCUCCUGAUUUCUCCAUUACUCUUCACCUUUUGUAAUAAAGGCUGUUGCAUAUU